AUUGAACGCCGGCGGCAGGCCUAACACAUGCAAGUCGAGCGGAUGAAGGGAGCUUGCUCCUGGAUUCAGCGGCGGACGGGUGAGUAAUGCCUAGGAAUCUGCCUGGUAGUGGGGGAUAACGUCCGGAAACGGGCGCUAAUACCGCAUACGUCCUGAGGGAGAAAGUGGGGGAUCUUCGGACCUCACGCUAUCAGAUGAGCCUAGGUCGGAUUAGCUAGUUGGUGGGGUAAAGGCCUACCAAGGCGACGAUCCGUAACUGGUCUGAGAGGAUGAUCAGUCACACUGGAACUGAGACACGGUCCAGACUCCUACGGGAGGCAGCAGUGGGGAAUAUUGGACAAUGGGCGAAAGCCUGAUACAGCCAUGCCGCGUGUGUGAAGAAGGUCUUCGGAUUGUAAAGCACUUUAAGUUGGGAGGAAGGGCAGUAAGUUAAUACCUUGCUGUUUUGACGUUACCAACAGAAUAAGCACCGGCUAACUUCGUG
rnacentral:rRNA from 1 species